GAUGACAAAAGUUGCAAAGUUGAGAGGCAGGGGCGGGUACACUUCUCAAUGGGUCAGAGACUUCUAGGACAAGGAGAAGAGAGUGCAGCAAUCCUGGGCAGGUCAGGCUAGGCUAAGGAAGAGCCUAGGAUGGAGAGAAGACUGCCAAGAUAUUUGGAGUUUCCAUAUCUUGUCCUAGUGUCUCCUAACCCAGAGAAGCUAUCCUAGAGAUGGGAGUUUCCACUUGACAUCCAAGGGUCAGUACUGGGGAGAGCUGUGAGAGGGAGUUAAUGUGCUAUGGACACCAGACAAGUGGAAGACUAGAAGGAAUCAGAAUCCACAUGGAGUAUAAGGAGCCACAGCUAAAUCCACACGGUGCAGGCUCCUGUGGGAGGGGCGUCUCAGCUCAGAGGCAGAGGAAACAGAGGAGCCCCAAACGUGCUCCUGGACACCCAUCUGGAUCCCAGGUGAGAAGAGACCCUCCUAAGAUUUCCGAAGACCACCCUUGGCCCUGUCCUCAGACCAGAGGCCAGUCACUGCUCCUAGCCCACGUUCAGGAGGAUGAGACCUCGGCCAGUCCUGGAAGAAGGGUUGCUUAUCUCCCCGGGUAGGCUUUGAGAAAUCCUGCCCCGAAGCCUGGGUGGCCCUCACCUAAGGGAACAAACCAUACCCGGAAUCACCCUUCAGUGACCCUUGCUCAUGGAGGAAGCAUGAUGUAAAAAGUCCCCAAAUCCUCCCUCUUUGGCUUUAUAAUGCAUUAUCUUAUUACUUCCAGAUGCUUUUACUAAUAAUACUUGCUUGAUCUAACAUAAGAAUGAGCCUGUGUUCCCUGAACACCCAGUGGAUGUGGGGAAGUAAUCAAGAAGUGAGUGAGAAAACAGAAUAUUUUGGAAUAAAUAUAGUUUUUGGUUU